rnacentral:rRNA from 1 species
UACGUAGGGUGCGAGCGUUAUCCGGAAUUAUUGGGCGUAAAGAGCUCGUAGGCGGUUUGUUGCGUCGGCUGUGAAAUCCCGAGGCUCAACCUGGGAACUGCAUUUGUGACUGCAUGGCUGGAGUGCGGCAGAGGGGGAUGGAAUUCCGCGUGUAGCAGUGAAAUGCGUAGAUAUGCGGAGGAACACCGAUGGCGAAGGCAAUCCCCUGGGCCUGCACUGACGCUCAUGCACGAAAGCGUGGGGAGCAAACAGG